rnacentral:rRNA from 1 species
ACGGAAGGCAGCAGUGAGGAAUAUUGGUCAAUGGGCGGAAGCCUGAACCAGCCAAGUCGCGUGCGGGACGAAGGCCCUACGGGUCGUAAACCGCUUUUGUACGGGAAUAAAAAACUCCACGCGUGGGGUCUUGUAGGUACCGUAAGAAUAAGGAUCGGCUAACUCCGUGCCAGCAGCCGCGGUAAUACGGAGGAUCCGAGCGUUAUCCGGAUUUAUUGGGUUUAAAGGGUGCGCAGGCGGGCUGCUAAGUCUCCGGUGAAAUGUCAGGGCUCAACCUUGGAAUUGCCGGAGAUACUGGCGGCCUUGAGAGUGGCGGAGGUAUCCGGAAUGUGUGGUGUAGCGGUGAAAUGCAUAGAUAUCACACAGAACACCGAUCGCGUAGGCAGCGCACUACGCCGCAACUGACGCUGAGGCACGAAGGCGCGGGGAUCGAACAGGAUUAGAUACCCUGGUA